rnacentral:SRP_RNA from 1 species
GCUGGGCUUGGUGGUGCAUGCCUGUAAUCCCAGCUACUUGGGAGGCUGAGGCAGGAGAAUCACUUGAACCUGGGAGGCAGAGGCUGCAGUGAGCCAAGAUCACGCUACUGCACUCCAGCCUGGGUGACAGAGUGAAACCCUGUCUCAA